rnacentral:rRNA from 1 species
AAAUUGAAGAGUUUGAUCAUGGCUCAGAUUGAACGCUGGCGGCAGGCCUAACACAUGCAAGUCGAACGGUAACAGGAAGCAGCUUGCUGCUUUGCUGACGAGUGGCGGACGGGUGAGUAAUGUCUGGGAAACUGCCCGAUGGAGGGGGAUAACUACUGGAAACGGUAGCUAAUACCGCAUAACGUCGCAAGACCAAAGAGGGGGACCUUAGGGCCUCUUGCCAUCGGAUGUGCCCAGAUGGGAUUAGCUAGUAGGUGGGGUA